CGGGACGUAGCUCAGUUGGCUAGAGCGCAUGCAUGGGGUGCAUGAGGUCGCUGGUUCGAGCCCAGUCGUCCCGA
rnacentral:tRNA from 1 species